rnacentral:rRNA from 1 species
GACGAACGCUGGCGGCGUGCUUAACACAUGCAAGUCGAACGGUAAGGCCCUUCGGGGUACACGAGUGGCGAACGGGUGAGUAACACGUGGGUGAUCUGCCCUGCACUUCGGGAUAAGCCGGGGAAACUGGGUCUAAUACCGGAUAGGACCACGUCCUGCAUGGGUGGUGGUGGAACGCUUUGGCGGUGUGGGAUGGGCCCGCGGCCUAUCAGCUUGUUGGUGGGUGAUGGUCUACCAAGGCGACGACGGGUAGCCGGCCUGAGAGGGUGACCGGCCACACUGGGACUGAGAUACGGCCCAGACUCCUACGGGAGGCAGCAGUGGGGAAUAUUGCACAAUGGGCGCAAGCCUGAUGCAGCGACGCCGCGUGAGGGAUGACGGCCUUCGGGUUGUAAACCUCUUUCAGCACCGACGAAGCGCAAGUGACGGUAGGUGCAGAAGAAGGACCGGCCAACUACGUGCCAGCCGCCGCGGUAA